GACAUAGGUGGCGAACGUUAUCCGGAAUUAUUGGGCGUAAAGGGUGCGUAGGUGGUUUAAUAAGUUACUGGUGGUAAAUCGGGGCUCAACCUCGUGGAAGUCAGUAAUACUAUUAGACUAGAGGACCGGAGGAGUUAACGGAAUGGCUCAUGUAGGGGUAAAAUCCGCAAAUAUGAGUUAGAACACCAAUUGGCGAAGGCAGUUAACUAUUCGGUUCCUGACGUUGAGGCACGAAAGCGUGGGGGAGCAAGACGG
rnacentral:rRNA from 1 species